rnacentral:rRNA from 1 species
GUGUAAGUUAUUAAGGGCACACGGUGGAUGCCUUGGCAUUAAGAGCCGAUGAAGGACGUGUGAAUCUGCGAUAAGCCUCGGGGAGCCGAUAACUGGGCUGUGAUCCGAGGAUUUCCGAAUGGGGAAACCUGGCUCAUCUUCAUGGUGAGUUACCGCCAGCUGAAUGUAUAGGCUGGUUGGGGGGAACGCGGGGAAGUGAAACAUCUCAGUACCCGCAGGAAGAGAAAAUAAAGUAAUGAUUCUGUGAGUAGUGGCGAGCGAAAGCGGAAGAGACUAAACCUGUGGUGUGUGAUAGCGGUUAGGCGUUGCAUCAUGGGGGUUGUGGGAGUCACAGUGGUAGUUCUAACUGGCUGCCGGCAUGAUGUUCAGGAUGGUAGGUGAACGACUUGGAAUGGUCGGCCGUAGAGGGUGAGAGUCCCGUAAUCGAAAUUGUUCUGUCCGUGGUGUGGCCACCCGAGUAGCACGGGGCUCGUGGAAUCUCGUGUGAAUCUGCCAGGACCACCUGGUAAGUCUAAAUACUUCUUAGUGACCGAUAGUGAAUCAGUACCGUGAGGGAAUGGUGAAAAGUACCCCGGGAGGGGAGUGAAAUAGUACCUGAAACCGUGUGCUUACAAGCCGUUGGAGCCUUUUGGGGUGACAGCGUGCCUUUUGAAGAAUGAGCCUGCGAGUUAGUGUUAUGUCGCGAGGUUAACCCGUGUGGGGUAUCCGUAGCGAAAGCGAGUCUGAAUAGGGCGUUUGAGUGGCAUGACCUAGACCCGAAGCGGAGUGAUCUAUCCAUGGCCAGGUUGAAGCGACGGUAAGACGUCGUGGAGGACCGAACCCACUUCAGUUGAAAAUGGAGGGGAUGAGCUGUGGAUAGGGGUGAAAGGCCAAUCAAACUCUGUGAUAGCUGGUUCUCCCCGAAAUGCAUUUAGGUGCAGCGUUACGUGUUUCUUGCCGGAGGUAGAGCUACUGGAUGGCCGAUGGGCCUUCACGGGUUACUGACGUCAGCUAAACUCCGAAUGCCGGUAAGUGAGAGCGUAGCAGUGAGACAGUGGGGGAUAAGCUUCAUUGUCGAGAGGGAAACAGCCCAGACCACCAACUAAGGCCCCUAAGCGUGUGCUAAGUGGGAAAGGAUGUGGAGUUGCUUAGACAACCAGGAGGUUGGCUUAGAAGCAGCCACCCUUGAAAGAGUGCGUAACAGCUCACUGGUCAAGUGAUUCUGCGCCGAUAAUGUAGCGGGGCUCAAGUACACCGCCGAAGUUGUGGCAAUGAUCUUUU